rnacentral:rRNA from 1 species
CCUACGGGAGGCAGCAGUGAGGAAUAUUGGUCAAUGGCCGGAAGGCUGAACCAGCCAAGCCGCGUGAAGGACGAAGGUGCCAAGCAUUGUAAACUUCUUUUGUCAAGGGACAAAAUCAGGCUCGAGAGCCUGACCGAGGGUACUUGAAGAAAAAGCAUCGGGAAACUCCGUGACAGCAGCCGCGGUAAUAAGGAGGAUGCGAGCGUUAUCCGGAUUGAUUGGGUUUAAGGGGUGCGUAGGGGGGCUGUUAAGUCAGCGGUAAAAGCCCGGGGCUCAACCCCGGCGAGCCGUUGAAACUGGCUGUCUUGAGAUGUCGAGAGGUAUGCGGAAUGCGCAGUGUAGCGGUGAAAUGCUUAGAUAUUGCGCAGAACUCCGAUUGCGAAGGCAGCAUACCGGCGGCGAUCUGACGCUGAGGCACGAAAGCGUGGGUAUCGAACAGGAUUAGAUACCCUUGUAGUC